UCUGCCUUCCAGAUCAGUCUGAGUCAGCUGAUACCUCUCCAGUGAAUUUCUGGUCUGAGGUUUAUAAGCAAAUGUUAUAGUUUGUAAGUAAGUACUCUCGGUCAUUCAAUGGAAGCCUUCUGGAACCUCAUGAGAGAAGAUCAUUUCACAAAGGGAUUUGUCUUUAUAAGACCUUUCUUAAUGCUCUCAUCGUGUCAUCCGAUCGAAACUGCAGUGAAGGAGCUACGUGGGGGUCAGCCUCUGUAUGGGAAUUUUUCUGUUCGCUACUGUCAAGGUUUUUGUUUUUGUAUUUUUCCUCAGAAAAGAAAAACAGAAGUCGUCCUGAGAACAUUGUUGCUCAUGUGGAAUGCUUAUUGUGGCUUGGACCGUGUACAAAAUAACCUUGCUUCAAAUCCUUCUGGCUUGAUUCAUUAAUUUUUUCCAAACUCAUAAAAUAUAAGAUGCAGCAUUUGAAGAUCAAUAUGGGUUUCUCUGGCCUCUGAAAGGAUCUUAGAGGAAGAAAUAAGUCAAGGAGAGAUAAGCCUCUCCAUUCAAAUGGGGUGUCUCAGGGAAUAGGAAUGACUGAGGAGGGAGCCUGAUAAAAGAUCUGAGCUCUGGACGCAAGGCCGGUCAGCCUGUCACCCAAGAGCCUCCUCUACUGCUUCAGACUUCCCACAAGCAGGUUUCAUUUUCCUCAGAGCAGCCGUCUUCUG
ensembl:lncRNA